GCGUAUGUGAGCGGAUCUUCGAUGGCAGACUACGAAUCUGAGGGUCGGACGUUCGAAUCGUUCCGGGCGCGCCA
rnacentral:tRNA from 1 species